rnacentral:rRNA from 1 species
GGGNGUGCUNACACAUGCAAGUCGAACGGGAAUCUUCGGAUUCUAGUGGCGGACGGGUGAGUAACGCGUAAGAAUCUAACUUCAGGACGGGGACAACAGUUGGAAACGACUGCUAAUACCCGAUGUGCCGCAAGGUGAAACCUAAUUGGCCUGGAGAAGAGCUUGCGUCUGAUUAGCUAGUUGGUGGGGUAAGAGCCUACCAAGGCGACGAUCAGUAGCUGGUCUGAGAGGAUGAGCAGCCACACUGGGACUGAGACACGGCCCAGACUCCUACGGGAGGCAGCAGUGGGGAAUUUUCCGCAAUGGGCGAAAGCCUGACGGAGCAACGCCGCGUGAGGGAGGAAGGUCUUUGGAUUGUAAACCUCUUUUCUCAAGGAAGAAGUUCUGACGGUACUUGAGGAAUCAGCCUCGGCUAACUCCGUGCCAGCAGCCGCGGUAAUACGGGGGAGGCAAGCGUUAUCCGGAAUUAUUGGGCGUAAAGCGUCCGCAGGUGGUCAGCCAAGUCUGCCGUCAAAUCAGGUUGCUUAACGACCUAAAGGCGGUGGAAACUGGCAGACUAGAGAGCAGUAGGGGUAGCAGGAAUUCCCAGUGUAGCGGUGAAAUGCGUAGAGAUUGGGAAGAACAUCGGUGGCGAAAGCGUGCUACUGGGCUGUAUCUGACACUCAGGGACGAAAGCUAGGGGAGCGAAAGGGAUUAGAUACCCCUGUAGUCCUAGCCGUAAACGAUGGGAUACUAGGCGUGGCUUGUAUCGACCCGAGCCGUGCCGAAGCUAACGCGUUUAAGUUAUCCCGCCUGGGGGAGUACGCACGCAAGUGUGAAACUCAAAGGAAUUGACGGGGGCCCGCACANGCGGUGGAGUAUGGUNGUUUAAUUUCGAUGCAACGCGAAGGAACCUUACAAAGACUUGACAUUGUCGCGACCCNUGGUGAAAGCUGGGGGGUGCCUUCNGGAGCGCGAACCCNGGUGUUGCAUGGNCUNU